CGUGGUCGGUGGGAGGAGAUGUGGCCCAGCCGUUGAACCAGGCUCUAUCGGUGUCAGGACGCGUUGGUGGAGGAGGAGGGCUGAUGGACGAGAGCCGACGGCGCCAUGGUGGACGAGAGCCGACGGCGCCAUGGUGGACGAGAGCCGACGGCGCCAUGGUGGACGAGAGCCGACGGAGGAGCCAUGGUGGACGAGAGCCGACGGAGCCAUGGUGGACGAGAGCCGACGGAGCCAUGGUGGACGAGAGCCGACGGAGCCAUGGUGGACGAGAGCCGACGGCGCCAUGGUGGAAGAGAGCCGACGGCGCCAUGGUGGACGAGGGCCGACGGAGGAGCCGUGGUGGAGGUCCUGCCUUAAGAAUGAUGUCGGGGUCAGGACGCGUUGGUGGAGGAGGAGGGCUGAUGGAGGAGAGCCGACGGAGCCAUGUUGGACGACAGCCGACGGAGCCAUGGUGGACGACAGCCGACGGAGCCAUGGUGGACGAGAGCCGACGGAGAAGCCGUGGUGGACGAGAGCCGACGGCGCCAUGGUGGACGAGAGCCGACGGAGGAGCCAUGGUGGACGAGAGCCGACGGCGCCAUGGUGGACGAGAGCCGACGGAGGAGCCGUGGUGGAGGUCCUGCCUUAAGAAUGAUCUCGGGACCCGAUGGCCUUGGCUGAUGGAGGAACUGCAUCUGGAGGACGACCAUGAAUCUACCUGCCAACAGGUGGUACUGGUUUGCACUGGUUUGCAUGAACUGAACCUGGUGGACAUGAGGCAAAUUCCCUGCUUUUUGCUCCAGACCAGGACUCUGUGA
rnacentral:lncRNA from 1 species